UACGGAGGGUGCAAGCGUUAAUCGGAAUUACUGGGCGUAAAGCGCACGUAGGUGGUUUGUUAAGCUAGCUGUGAAAUCCCCGGGCUCAACCUGGGCACUGCAGUUAGAACUGGCAAGCUAGAGUAGGGUAGAGGGGUGUGGAAUUCCUGGUGUAGCAGUGAAAUGCGUAGAUAUCAGGAGGAAUACCGAUGGCGAAGGCAGGUCUCUGGGCUGACACUGACGCUCAUGCACGAAAGCGUGGGGAGCAAACAGG
rnacentral:rRNA from 1 species